rnacentral:misc_RNA from 1 species
ACACCUCAACUCUUCAUGGUUUUCCAUGAUGAGCUUGGACUUUGGGGGUUUUGCUGGCCUACAGUCAGCUCCUCUAAAAUAAAUCAGCUCGCCAGUGUUUGGUGGGUAUCGCAGGUGUGAUAACUAUCUACGCUUGUGGUUUUUCCACCAGGUAACCUUCAGCAGUGGAGGUUCACUGGAGCUCACAGAUGUCUCUCCUUGGUGAGGACAGCCCUUUGAAU